GGACAAUACUGUGUCAUCGGAAGUCUGCUGAAAUGCAGACUCCUGAGGAAAGUCCGUCCACCAUUAAAAGGCUGCCUUCAUAAGAAGGAGCGUGAAAACGCUGGCAACCACACAGCAACGAGCUCCUGCAAAACUGGAAUGAUGCAUGCGACGCUUUUGGCAACAAGAGCAAGCAAGCUGCUGACGUCUUUUGCAGUGAAGAUGAAACGGUGAGCCCCGGUUGGUGCAAGUCCCUUUUGGACGCUGAGUCGAAUACACAACCACGUGUUCAUGCUUGCGUGAACGUGCACAGAAGACGGCUUAUGAUUGUCC
rnacentral:RNase_P_RNA from 1 species